rnacentral:rRNA from 1 species
AACGAACGCUGGCGGCAUGCCUAACACAUGCCAGUCGAACGAGACCUUCGGGUCUAGUGGCGCACGGGUGCGUAACGCGUGGGAACCUGCCUUUAGGUCCGGAAUAACUCAGAGAAAUUUGAGCUAAUACCGGAUGAUGUCUUCGGACCAAAGAUUUAUCGCCUUUAGAUGGGCCCGCGUUGGAUUAGCUAGUUGGUGGGGUAAAGGCCUACCAAGGCGACGAUCCAUAGCUGGUCUGAGAGGAUGAUCAGCCACACUGGGACUGAGACACGGCCCAGACUCCUACGGGAGGCAGCAGUGGGGAAUAUUGGACAAUGGGCGAAAGCCUGAUCCAGCAAUGCCGCGUGAGUGAUGAAGGCCUUAGGGUUGUAAAGCUCUUUUACCCGAGAUGAUAAUGACAGUAUCGGGAGAAUAAGCUCCGGCUAACUCCGU